ACAUUAAACGAUUAGUGUCAAACAAUGGUAUUGCGGGGUUUUUUUUGUGGAUCAACAAGUAACGAUAAAAACACCCUAUCUGGUACAUUUCCAUUACGAAUCAGAUAAAAAGUUCUCAAAAGUUCUCAGCAGUUCUCAAAGGAUGGUUUUCAAAUAUGCGACGGAUUAAAACGUUUCCAAAUCUAUUGUUGUACCUUGUCCGUAAAAUGGCAGCGAGCAGGAAUUUGAGCCGCAAUUCCAAGGUGUCGCUCCAGUCAUUCAAGAUGCUCAACUUGCUAAAGCAUUAUGAUAUAUACAGUAUUUCAUUUUCAGGCGAAGAACCAUACAAGAACAUAUCGCCGUAUAAUAUUGUUAAUCACGUGGGAUCUGGGUGUCGAAUGCCAAAACCAUCUCAUUGUUCCAACGAAAUGUAAGCAAAGCAGAACUACUAUUUCUUUUCAUACUUCUAGCUUGAUCAUUAAUGUUUAGUUUAAGCGGGUUCAUGAUGUAAUCAUGCCCGGAAGUAAAACAACG